rnacentral:rRNA from 1 species
AAACUGGAGAGUUUGAUCCUGGCUCAGAACGAACGCUGGCGGCGUGGAUUAGGCAUGCAAGUCGAACGAUCUCUUUCUUCGGAGGGGGAUAGUGGCAAACGGGUGAGGAACACGUGGGUAAUUU